CACAUAUGAAGUGAGCCAGCAC
rnacentral:miRNA from 1 species